CAGCCACCACCUCUACCACCGCAGAAUCAAGCACAGCCGCCACCUCCGCCACCGCCGAAUCAAGCACAGCCGCGGCACAGGGUAAACCAGUAUAAUCAAAGUUAUGGCAGUCAUAUGGCUCAACCACCUCCUUCCGCAUUCCCACAGAACUACGCACAACAGCAAAACUUCCCGCCACAUUACCAGCAGUACCCUUACCCGCCACAGCCUCCAAUGGCGGCAGCAC
rnacentral:lncRNA from 1 species